AGGACGAACGCUGGCGGCGUGCUUAACACAUGCAAGUCGAACGGUGAAGCCCUUCGGGGUGGAUCAGUGGCGAACGGGUGAGUAACACGUGGGUAACCUGCCUCUUGCUCUGGGAUAACUCCGGGAAACCGGGGCUAAUACCGGAUAUUCAUUUCUGACGGCAUCGUUGGUUGUGGAAAGUUUUUCGGCAAGAGAUGGACCCGCGGCCUAUCAGCUUGUUGGUGGGGUGAUGGCCUACCAAGGCGACGACGGGUA
rnacentral:rRNA from 1 species